rnacentral:lncRNA from 1 species
GGACUCUGGUUAAUUCUGGAAAGAGGAGUAUAAACCACUAUUGUAUGCCUCCCAAAUCAUGCCACUGCCUCCAGAGAGCUAAGCAAUGUCACUCUCCCUAAGUUCAAAGAUCUUGAAAGAAAAGUCGGUGAAGAAGGAAAAUACCCAGGAUAGCAUGUGAGGACCGUGCCUGGUUCUUGGCCUUUGAUCUGAAGAUUUGGCAGGUAUCUGUUCUAUAUUUCAAAUCUGCAAGCCAGCAGGGAGAGACUUGCUCCACAGAUGGCCAACGGAACAGAUGAAAUGUCACCCAUUUUCUCAGAUCCACUCCUCCUGCAUCCUCCUCAUGGACUAACCUUCGCCAUGGAUUCACUAAGCGCCUGCACGACGUAAGACUCACUGUAUGGUAUUAAUUCAGAGUGAUAUUCCCCUUGAGGUGAUCUAAACCCUGAAUUCUCACCUGCCUUUUAAAGAGGCAUUUAGAAUUAAAUUAGUUAUAUGGCUGUUUCUAAAACACAUGCCCAUACUUAUACCCUCUUCCUUAUUUAAAAAUAAACGUAUGAGGAAAAUUACCA